GAGUUAUUUCCCUUUAGAGGAAGGACGCACAAAAAGAUAGAGAAACACACUGUCAAUUAAGAGACUCCAUGCUCUUGCUGCAAUUCAGUGAUCUGGCUAAAGUAAUUUAAUUCUGGGAACUAAUUUGAGGCAAUGAUUACUUGCCACAGCAUCACUCUACUAUAAAAGAAUAUUUGAAGUACAACUGCUUGAUUUGAGUUAUUGAUUCAACCUUUAAUAUGACUUUGGUCAAACUCAGGAUCCAUGGAGCUGGUGCAUAUCUUUAUCAUCAUCAUUUAAGGCCUAUGUUCUAUGCAGAUAUAGGUUCGACAGAUUGACAGGAUCCGAUGGAUUCAAGGACUGCAUCAUGUUCCAGUGUCUGCUCUUGCAUGGUUUCUUUGGCUACCCUUCUUAUCGUCAACAACUUUACAGUGGGUAUUGGUCCUUUUUUUUAUGCCAACAGCACUAGUGAGGUCACUAUGUAGCUUAUAAGACUACAAAUCUAGAGGUGGCAGCAGGUUACUCUUAUGCUAGGAAAUGAGAGAAGGCGAAAAACCAGGUUCUUGUAGAAGAGGCUACAUGGCCACUCAAUUAAAAGAGAGGAUGAGAAUGAUCUUCAGUUUCUAUAAUGCUAAGUGGACAGGAGCCAAACUUUUCUGUGGGUAGGAUGAUUCCAUGAUCUGACGCUGAGAUAACAAUAUACAAUGUUGUCCUUGGAAAAGACUUCAUCAGUGCAUAUGUUUGAAAUAAUAUAAAAUGCUUUUACACUUUCCAUGCUCAAAACAUUAAUAUUUUUUCUUUUCCUAUGGAGUUUAAUAGCUGACUUUAUUAACUGUUUUUUUUUUCUGCUUCAUUCAUUUUUUAAAAUCUAUUUUUUUCUUCUAUUAUUAAUUUUGCUGACACAAACAUCUACUUGGCUUGCUUGGAUUCUGGAUCAGCUGUAAGGUUAAUGUGCUGAACUACUAACUAGUUCAAACCUUACUACACCCUUUGUGCUAUGGCCCCUGUACAAAACAUGUAACUUCACCCACUCAAGACACAGGUUUCCUCACUUAUUUCUUGGUUUAUGGAUUAAAAUAAGACAGGACUGCUAACUAUAAAAACAAUUGAUUUGGUAAAAAUAUUCCACCAACACAUUGAUGUAAACUGAUAUAAAAUAAAUAAAGUGAUGCACCCAUAAUUUCUCUAUAAAAUGUAAGUGUAACAUUAACAGAAUUCAUGUAAUUUCUUGACACAAAAAAUAAAAAUAAAAUGAUAAGAGGGAAAAGGAAUU